UACGGAGGGUGCAAACGUUGCUCGGAAUCAUUGGGCGUAAAGCGCACGUAGGCGGUCUGGUAAGUCGGAUGUGAAAUCCCUCGGCUCAACCGAGGAAGUGCAUUCGAAACUGUCAGACUUGUAUAUGGAAGAGGGUCGCGGAAUUCCCGGUGUAGAGGUGAAAUUCGUAGAUAUCGGGAGGAACACCAGUGGCGAAGGCGGCGACCUGGGCCAAUAUUGACGCUGAGGUGCGAAAGCGUGGGGAGCAAACAGG
rnacentral:rRNA from 1 species